rnacentral:rRNA from 1 species
UGCCAGCCGCCGCGGUAACACGAACCGUACGAACGUUAUUCGGAAUCAUUGGGCUUAAAGGGUGCGUAGGCGGCGCGGUCAGUUGGGUGUGAAAGCCCUCGGCUCAACCGAGGAAUUGCGCCCAAAACUGCCGUGCUCGAGGGAGACAGAGGUAAGCGGAACUGAUGGUGGAGCGGUGAAAUGCGUUGAUAUCAUCAGGAACACCAGUGGCGAAAGCGGCUUACUGGGUCUCUUCUGACGCUGAGGCACGAAAGCUAGGGUAGCGAACGGGAUUAGAUA